rnacentral:piRNA from 1 species
GCAGAAAAGGACAGAUCUUAUGA